rnacentral:rRNA from 1 species
UGCGCAGCUACCAUGCAGUCGAGGGGUAUAUUUCUUCGGAGAUAGAGACCGGCGCACGGGUGCGUAACGCGUAUGCAAUCUACCUUUUACAGAGGGAUAGCCCAGAGAAAUUUGGAUUAAUACCUCAUAGUAUUACGAAAUGGCAUCAUUUUGUAAUUAAAGUCACAACGGUAAAAGAUGAGCAUGCGUCCCAUUAGCUAGUUGGUAAGGUAACGGCUUACCAAGGCUACGAUGGGUAGGGGUCCUGAGAGGGAGAUCCCCCACACUGGUACUGAGACACGGACCAGACUCCUACGGGAGGCAGCAGUGAGGAAUAUUGGACAAUGGGCGCAAGCCUGAUCCAGCCAUGCCGCGUGCAGGAUGACGGUCCUAUGGAUUGUAAACUGCUUUUAUACGAGAAGAAACACUACUUCGUGAAGUAGCUUGACGGUAUCGUAAGAAUAAGGAUCGGCUAACUCCGUGCCAGCAGCCGCGGUAAUACGGAGGAUCCAAGCGUUAUCCGGAAUCAUUGGGUUUAAAGGGUCCGUAGGCGGUUUAAUAAGUCAGUGGUGAAAGCCCAUCGCUCAACGGUGGAACGGCCAUUGAUACUGUUAAACUUGAAUUAUUAGGAAGUAACUAGAAUAUGUAGUGUAGCGGUGAAAUGCUUAGAGAUUACAUGGAAUACCAAUUGCGAAGGCAGGUUACUACUAAUGGAUUGACGCUGAUGGACGAAAGCGUGGGUAGCGAACAGGAUUAGAUACCCUGGUAGUCCACGCCGUAAACGAUGGAUACUAGCUGUUGGAAGCAAUUUCAGUGGCUAAGCGAAAGUGAUAAGUAUCCCACCUGGGGAGUACGUUCGCAAGAAUGAAACUCAG